rnacentral:ncRNA from 2 species
GUGUUUGUUGAAAGGAGAGAUGGUUGGCAUCUCCCCUGACAGGGACGGGCACAGUCUUUGGGCUUUUCUCUACACAUCAGUUAAGGUUACUCACCUUUUGGUGGAUCUAUAACCCAAUUUUUU